GAUGAACGCUGGCGGCGUGCCUAAUACAUGCAAGUAGAACGCUGAAGGAAGGAGCUUGCUCUUUCCGGAUGAGUUGCGAACGGGUGAGUAACGCGUAGGUAACCUGCCUGGUAGCGGGGGAUAACUAUUGGAAACGAUAGCUAAUACCGCAUAACAGUAGAUGUUGCAUGAUAUCUACUUAAAAGGUGCAAUUGCACCACUACCAGAUGGACCUGCGUUGUAUUAGCUAGUUGGUGAGGUAACGGCUCACCAAGGCGACGAUACAUAGCCGACCUGAGAGGGUGAUCGGCCACACUGGGACUGAGACACGGCCCAGACUCCUACGGGAGGCAGCAGUAGGGAAUCUUCGGAAAUGGACGGAAGUCUGACCGAGCAACGCCGCGUGAGUGAAGAAGGUUUUCGGAUCGUAAAGCUCUGUUGUAAGAGAAGAACGAGUGUGAGAGUGGAAAGUUCACACUGUGACGGUAUCUUACCAGAAAGAGACGGCUAACUACGUG
rnacentral:rRNA from 1 species